rnacentral:tRNA from 1 species
GUGGUGGAAUUGGUAGACACACCAGAUUUAGGUUCUGGCGCCGCAAGGUGUGAGAGUUCGAGUCUCUCCGUCCGCACCA